GAUGAACGCUGGCGGCGUGCCUAAUACAUGCGAGUCGAGCGAACGGACGAGAAGCCUGCUUUUCUGAUGUUAGCGGCGGACGGGUGAGUAACACGUGGAUAACCUACCUAUAAGACUGGGAUAACUUCGGGAAACCGGAGCUAAUACCGGAUAAUAUUUUGAACCGCAUGGUUCAAAAGUGAAAGACGGUCUUGCUGUCACUUAUAGAUGGAUCCGCGCUGCAUUAGCUAGUUGGUAAGGUAACGGCUUACCAAGGCAACGAUGCAUAGCCGACCUGAGAGGGUGAUCGGCCACACUGGAACUGAGACACGGUCCAGACUCCUACGGGAGGCAGCAGUAGGGAAUCUUCCGCAAUGGGCGAAAGCCUGACGGAGCAACGCCGCGUGAGUGAUGAAGGUCUUCGGAUCGUAAAACUCUGUUAUUAGGGAAGAACAUAUGUGUAAGUAACUGUGCACAUCUUGACGGUACCUAAUCAGAAAGCCACGGCUAACUACGUG
rnacentral:rRNA from 1 species